AUUGAACGCUGGCGGCAGGCCUAACCCAUGCAAGUCGAACGAGUGGCGGACGGGUGAGGAAUGUCUGGGAAACUGCCCGAUGGAGGGGGAUAACUACUGGAAACGGUAGCUAAUACCGCAUACCAUCGGAUGUGCCCAGAUGGGAUUAGCUAGUAGGUGGGGUAACGGCUCACCUAGGCGACGAUCCCUAGCUGGUCUGAGAGGAUGGCCAGCAACACUGGAACUUAUACACGGUCCCGACGCCUACGGGAGGCAGCAGUGGGGAAUAUUGCACAAUGGGCGCAAGCCUGAUGCAGCCAUGCCGCGUGUAUGAAGAAGGCCUUCUGGUUGUAAAGUACUUUCAGCGAGGAGGCGUUACUCGCAGAAGAAGCACCGGCUAACUCCGUGCCAGCCGCCGCGGUAAUAC
rnacentral:rRNA from 1 species